rnacentral:lncRNA from 1 species
CAUGUUUGCUUCCCCUUCUGCCGUUAUUGCAAAUUCCCUGAGACCUCCCCAGCCAUGCAGAACUGUUAGUCAAUUAAGCCUCAUUCCAUUAUAAAUUGCCCAGUUUCAGGCAGUUCUUCACAGCAGCAUGAAAAGGGACUAAUACAAUACUCUUAUAUGAUGAAAGUAGUUGAAACAGCAAGUUCUCUCCUUUCCGAAUAUAUGUCCUGAGACUAAACUUCUUUGAUUUCUCCAUGGAGGGGAUAGGACAUUGGGCCGAUCUCAUUGCUCCCAGCCUAGCAGGCAUCAGAACCUUAGAAGCCAUGAUUUCACUCAGUGAGUCACUGUCACAUUGGCACAUCCUAUUCCCUGUUGAUGGUGCCACCUUUUACACAAAGGCACUCAGCACAUCCUGCACUGGCAAUGAGAUGAGUCUCCCUGGCUGCCCCUUCCUCUAUGCGACCUCACAAUGAUUGCAUUGGAAGGAUUAUGACAGCAACUUCCUGCAGUCCCAUGGUGCCCAACAAAUUGAGGGUGACUCAGUGCCUCAGACAAGGAGGUAAAUGUUUCUUUUCAAUGAUUAUAAUCGUCACUCUUUCCUGUCCCCUCCUCCCCACAGUUGCUGAUACUAUAUUCCAUUAUGUUUAUAAAAAUAUUAAGGGACAUUAGUAUAAGGUGAUUAGGAUAAUAUUUAGUUACUAUUAUAAUAUAUUCUGUUUGAAAUACUAUAACUUAAGAUGUUCCAGACAUUGCACCACAGACUUUAUACAUUGUGGUGGACAAAACAUGGCCAGAAAUUUAUCAACAUUUCUGCAAUUCAGAGGAUACUGAGGCACUGUGAGGUUCACUGAAAGCUGGACUGUGAGGAAGAUUCGGGCCGUCGGACUCCAGACCCCAAGCUCUAACAUACUAUAUGGAGAAAUUAAGGCAUUGAAAAGUCACUUGCCCCAGAUGACACAGCUAGUGGACAGUCGAGGAAAUGUGGGCUCUGGAGUUGAAUCACGAUCUAGAUUCAAAUCUUGGUCCUGCCAUUUGCUGGAGGGACAUGUUUAGGAGGGCAUCCCAGGAGAAGGCAGAGUCCAGGAGGCGGAUGUUGGGAAGCAAAUCCUGAACUCAUCAAGUCCCAUAGCCCCUUUGUCUAUGGACCUUCUGCCAGCAUCUUCUGUAAGGAGGGGCUGCAUUUACUCAGGAGUAGACUACUUAGAGAAGCCAAGCUCACAGGACCUCAAGACCACACAGGAAGCAACAGGUGAUAAGGGGAUUUGAAAUUAGGCGAACCAUCUUUCUGUCCCCUUGCUCUUGACCACUGUUUUACUGCCCUCUUUCAGUCUUUAACGAUUUCUUUAAUAACUCUUUCAUUUGUUGGCAUUUAUUGUGUGACAGGCACCGGGGAUUCAAAGGAAAGUAACUUAUAGAUGGCCCCUUCCCUGGGGAAGUUUACCACCCUUUGGGGACAGAUCACCAAAAUCCUCUUCCUUGCUGGCACCCAUUGAGCACUUCCUGUGAACCAGGCUCCGUGCUAAGCCCUGUACCUGGGAUAUCUUAUUUAAGCCUCAGAACUCUUAUCUCCAGAGUAAUGGUUCACCUAUCUCUUGCCCUGGGAGGCUGACACCUGUAGACUGCAUCUCACGCUCUCCUUGGCCAGCUAGCUUCAAGUUGAGUUCAGCUAGAAAACAACCCUGACAAGGAAAUGAGAAGUUUCUUCAAUCAACCCUUAUUUUUCUUUGCUGUGAGGACCAGGAAGGAACCAAUCUGUUUAAAAACUGUUGCCCGCUGGUGGCUCGUUGCCAGGUCUGAGAUAACACUGGUGGUCCCUCUGAGGGCUGAGGACGCAUUCCCCGGGUACUGCAAUCAGAGCAGACGCAUGUGCAGCUGUGGAUGGAGGGAGCUGACGUGUUCUCUCCGGGAGCAGAGGAGCAAAUGUCACGAGAAAAGCCCUUGAAAAUGGUUCUCAUCCCUUUCUCCAUCGCAGACAACCCAGAAUAAACUGUUCUGAAAUGUUGACGUUUAAUAAUAUUAAUAUUAGUAAUGGCUGGAAAGGGCUUCUGGUAAUGAGAUUCCAGGAUAAAUAGGUCACUGGGUUUUCAUUGCUUAUCAAUGAAGUUCCCAAAAAGAUCUUUUUUAAGGAAAUAGGCUCAUGUAAACUUUUUUUUUUUUAAAAAAAGGAAGGAAAUACAUUGUCUUUAUAAUAAGG